rnacentral:rRNA from 1 species
GGCUGAAACUCGCCUAUAUGAAGUCGGAAUUGCUAGUAAUCGCGGAUCAGCACGCCGCGGUGAAUACGUUCCCGGGCCUUGUACACACCGCCCGUCACACCAUGAGAGUCGAUAACACCCGAAGCCUGUAGUCUAACAGCAAUGAGGACGCAGUCGAAGGUGGGAUUGAUAAUUAGGGUGAAGUCGUAACAAGGUAAC